rnacentral:lncRNA from 1 species
UCUAAAAUAGCUAAAAAAUAAAAUAGAAAGUCUGCUAAAAUUGCUCUAAUUGUUUCAUCCUCAUAAAAAAGAGGGAAAAUGCCCAAAUACCCAAAAAUUAGAAAGUUAAAGCCCAUUCUAAUGAAAUUCUAAUCUCUUAGCCCAUUCUAAUGAUUCUUAUGCAAAAGACAUUAUUACCCUCUAUAGAAUUAAACCCACACAAAUUCUAAUUUUCUUCUUCUUCUCUUCUCAAUCUGCUCUCUCUCUCUCCCCUUUCCUCGACGACGGACACCGCCGCAGACUUGACGACGGACGCCUCCGUUGUAGACGAUCAUGAGGCAGCGCUUGCCGAGGCCGGUGGGGACAAGUGCGGCGUUGUUGCAGAGGUCGGAGGAGAAGGAGGCGGUGGAGAUGCGAUGGUGGGAGACGACGGAGGAGGAGAAGGAGCGGGGGAUGGAGGGGUGGGGGUCGGAGGGGGAGAGGCGGGAGAGAGUGGGUUGGAGGAUGAAGAAGGUGGAGCCGAUGAGGAUGAAGAUGAGGCGUUGCUCUUUGAAGAUGUAGCUGAGGGAUCUGGGGUGCUUCAAGGCUUUGGGGGAGUAGGAGGAGGUGGAGGAGGUGCGUCAGGGUUGGUGGAAGAGGAGGCCGAUGUGUCGCCGUCGGGGAAGGUGGGUGCCCAGAGAAGUCAGUUAGUUAGUUUUUUUUUUUUUAAUUUUUGGUAUAUCCUUACAUUAAUAUUGAGCUCAGUAAGUGAUUAUUGAGGAUUGAUAAGUGAUUAUUGGGGUCAGUAAGUUAUUAUUUGAGGUUUGUAAUUUGAUUAUUAAGGGCCAAUAAAUGAUUAUUGGGUAUCAGUAAGCAAUUAUUGGGUGUCAGUAACUGAUUAUUGGGUAUCAGUAACUGAUUAUUGGAGGUCAGUAACUGAUUAUUAGGGGUUAAUAACUGAUUAUCAGAGGUCAGUAAUUGAUUAUUGGGGGUCAGUAACCAAGUUAUUAGAGGUCAGUAAUUGAUUAUUAGGGGUCAGUAACUGAUUAUUGGGGGUCAAUAACCGAGUUACAGGCGAUCAGAAUCCGGCGGCCGGAGAAAAAUUGAGUUACUGGGGGUCAAUAACCGAGUUACCGGUGACCGAAACCCGGCGACUGGGGAAAUCCGGCAACCAAAGUCCGGCGGCCGGUGACCGGAGUCCGGUGAGGUUCCGGCCAAGUAUUCUCUUUCUUCCACUUUCUCUCUAUGCAUAUUUAAGGGGUGAGGGUAAAAUAGUCUUAAAAUAAUAUUGUUUUUUUAAACUUUAGUAAAGAUUUGUGCAUUUAGGCAUAAAAAGGUUACUUUAUAUUGAAAUGAGCUAAUAAAAAAGAUUGUCAUCAGAACGAGAAAUAAGAGGUUUAAAUUAGUUCUAAAUAAGCAUUUUCCUUAAAAAUAAUCACCUUAAAACAAUGGUUCCGACAGUCUUUACACAUAAAAAUAAUUACAGAUUAUGCCAUCGUCUCUCUCACAAAACUAGUUGAUCUCUCUCUCACUCACCGAUGCACCAUCAAUGCUUCAACUCCCUGGCCGAUCCCAUAGAUUUCCGAAACUCCGACGGAGACUGGUUCUCCGACGCCGGUAACGAUUCCAACCGAGAAGUCAGAUGCUUCAUCUUCGAUCUCUUCCGGUCGCACGGCGACGCUUGCGGCUGUGUUGUCUUCUCUGUCCACCGUAGAUUCGGAGCGGGUCGAGUCUGAGUCCUCCAGAUCUUCGCCGUCCACCGUAGAUUCGGAGCGGGCCGAGUCCGAGUCCUCCAGAUCAACCAGACUUUGCACUCUCUGUUUCUCUUCUUUACUUCAAAUUCAAUAUCUAUUUUGAUUUCAAUUGCGCCCUCCAGACGAAUCAGCUUAUCUGGGCUUGAAGUGCCUUUGACUAGCCUCAGCUUAGGAUCGUCGUUGUGCUUUGAGCCUCAUGUAAGAAGAUUUGGUCACGAUAUUACCCAUUCAAAUCCAAUACCAUUUGUGUUGAUAAUCGUAUACAUGGCAAAGUACCCAAAUCCUUCAUAUGGAUUUCAAUAGCAUUGUUUCUUGUACCAUCCGUUCAAUUCCAUGUCUCAUUGGUUAUGGUCUUUGACUCUUUGUCUCUUUUGGUUAGAGAAAAGGAGAAGAGCUCAGUAGGUAACUAGCUUUGUAACUUACAAAGUAAUAAGUAACAAGUUGACAAUGUAACUAUUUAUGUAACUAGCAAUAUAACUAAGUGAUCAUGUAAUUGAUUAAGGGACUAAUUAUAAAGUGAUUGGUUUACUUGGUGGCAACUGAAGUAACUUGCAAUAUAACCAAUAGUCAUGUAAAUUUUCUGUAUAAUUGAUUAUGAAACUUGUUAAGUUUUUAGUUAUGUAACAAAAUAUGUAACUACUCAAG